rnacentral:rRNA from 1 species
UGCGGUUAUACAAAUAAUAUAAUUUAAUUUUAUUAAUAAAAAUUAAUUGAUUUAUUUAAAUUUUAAAUUAAAAUUUAUUAGGUAAAAUUUUAAAUUUUAAUUAUAUUUAUUUAAUUAAAUGAAGUUUAGAAAUUUAUUUUGUAAACUAGGAUUAGAUACCCUAUUAUUUUAAAUGUAAUUUUAUUUAUUAAAUUAUUAUAAGUUAUGUUCUUUAAAAUUAAAAAUUUUGGCGGUAUUUUAGUCUUUUCAGAGGAACCUGUUGUGUAAAUGAUAACCCACGAUUUGAUUUAUUUUUAUUAUUAAUUUGUAUAUCAUCGUAAUUAAGUAUUUUAUUAGAAUUACUAAUAUUUAAAGUUUUUUAUAAAAAAAUUAGUCAGAUCAAGGUGCAAUUUAUAUAAAAGUAUUAAUGGGUUACAAUAAAUUUAUUUAUGGAUAAUUUUUAUUAUUAAGAUUUUGAAUUUGGAUUUGAUAGUAAAUUUAAUAAAUUAAUUAAAUUGAUUUUGGCUCUAAAAUAUGC